AUGUUUUUCCUUACACAAGUUUCUACGCUCCAGGCAACGAGGAAGGUGCUCUACCGAGGUAGAUGUGUUCGCAGGCUUUACCCAUUGAUUCCGGAGUUUAGAAGAAUAAAUAAGCAAGCUUAUGGUGUCACCAAAAUCUCCUCGACAAGGUGGCAUGAUAGACUAGGGCAUGCAUCAUUUUCUUUAGUUGAACGAUUGCUUAGGAAGAAUAAGCUCCCAUAUGUUGGAGAGCGUGAUGUUGAAACAAUUUGUGAUUCUUGUCAAAAGGCUAAAAGCCAUCAAUUACCUUAUCCAAUUUCCACGAGUAUUUCUACCAAACCGUUGCAACUUAUCUUUUCUGAUGUUUGGGGUCCUGCUCCAAGUUCUGUUGGUAGGCAUACUUACUAUGUUAUCUUCAUUGAUGACUAA
rnacentral:rRNA from 1 species